CAGCGGGGAGCCGCCUCUCCCGUGUGACCCGAGGACCCCGGACCUCACGCCCCCCUGGGGACUCGCCCAUCCCACGGAGCGCCUCCAGUGUGAUUCCAAUACUGAAAUAACAGAAAGGAGCCUGAAACGAAGAUGCAGUAAAUACAGCAAGAGUAACCACAGAAAGGUCUCAUGUGACCUCGAGGCACGUGAGGAUAUAUAUUGAUAAACAGGAUAGACGUAUAAAUGUUUCCUGAACUCACCUGCAGAGGAAUGCAACACGUUUUUCAAAUACGUAUUCUCCUAUUCUCCGUUGAGAAUGAACACAUUCUCAUUGAAUGUGUUCAGGGAAAUCUCUUUCAGCCAAGACAGUAGGAAAGAAUUUAAAUCACAAAGGAAGACAUUGGCAGACUCCUGAGCAAAGGAGCCGUGUGAUCACAAGAUGGUGGGAAAAAUAGCCUUGGUAACUUGAAGUUCAAGUUUGCCUCCUUGGUAUUUGUAAGAGGAAACUGUAUCAUGCAUUUCCCCCCAUACUUAUGCUCACACAGAAUGACUUAUAAGAAGGCAGUCUGGGAAAAUUUCAAUUCUCCAUUCUCAGCUCCAUGAGAGUACAUAUGUACAUACAUAGGAAGUAAGCCAAACAUUUGGAAAGAAUUCAGAAACUGACAAGGAACACAUGCAAACAGACAAGGACAACUUGUAUCUCAAUCCAAAGUAAUGGCAUAAAUUUCGUGUUUGCAAUAAAGAUGACUAGGGAAGAUGAU